rnacentral:tRNA from 1 species
GCCGACUUUGCAUAGUGGUUGAUUGCACGUGACUUGUAAUCACGAGAGGAAACUCCACGUCAGUUCGAAUCUGACAGUCGGCU